CCUCCCACCUAAUCCAGAUCCUCAUAUAUCAUUGUGACGGAUAGUUUUGUUUGUUCUAUUUAACUGUUUUUAUUUUCGAAAAGAAUAUUUGUACAAGGUGUUGUUAAUAAAUGUAACGGACAAUAUAUACCAUGCCCUCUCAGCCGACGUCGUAAUUUCAUUUUUAAUGAAAGAAAGUAUUUAAAAGCUUCUCUCCCUGUGCAAUAUGAUUUAUUAAACUCAUUAGGCAGAGCAAUUUUUAUGACUACUUGCAUAAUUGUUUAAUCAUAUUGAAUUCUGUAUCAAAUUUAUAUUAAUAAUAAAAGUUUCAGAUCUUUAAUAUUGAAAACGGGUUAAAAUUAUUUACUUGCAUUAACAUGAUUAAUAUUGAUAUAAAAACAUCCAGUUCGUUUUUUUGUGUUUUUUUUUGUAGAUCUAAGAAAAAAAGCAAGUCUGUUACACUAAAACAAUUGACCAAUUAAAAUUGUCACAUAGUGUCUUCUUAUGUCGUCUGAAUUACAAUGUACCCCCCUCUGCAGAAAAAGUUACUUUUAAAGACUUGGGGCAUCGACCACCAUAUUUUUACUGUUUGGCUGUGUUUAAACGAGGUGUUUGAUUGAUGCAGUUAGAUUUAGGCCUGUUAAAGACUUGAGGCUGAUUAUUUUAUUAUUAUGUCCAAUCUAUAUGUUUUUAUCACGCAUAUGUGAAAACAAUGGCAUGAGCGGAACAAAACUUUGUGAAAUAGACUAUAAAAAUGCUGAAAUUAAGAUUUGUUCAUUGCUGCUAUGAGUUUUAUAUGAAUUGUGUGUUCAGAAUAAUACAUUCAACGUUACUAAGAAGAAAAGGUAUAGCCUUUGAUUUUUUACUUAAUUUUAAUAUUUCAGGGGUAUCAGUAAUUUUCUUCUGAUACCGUUUACUACCUAUUAGCUUAUUAAUUUGCCUACUCCAUUUUCUAAAAUAUUUCGAAAAAUACAGUGAUGCACCAGAAAUCAUUAUUUCGCUUUAGGUUAGAAUGAAAUAAUUAUUUACAUAGGACAACGAUAGCCUUUUUUUUGGUUCUGCGUUUUCACUAUAAAAGAUCCUUUGAUAAAACUGUCAGAUUCUGAAUUUUCAACAUCUUUAGGUGUGAAUAAAACUGCAAAACAAUCAUGGUGCCGCAGUUUUUCUGAUAGAAAAAUGGCAUUUUUUAACGGAACUCUAUUAGUCAGGAAUUUUCGAAAAAGUAUGAAUAACAAAACCCCUUGCUUAAUUUUGCACAGAACAUUUGCUCAUCAAAGAUAGUUUCCUCCAAAUGUCUCGCUAUUUGUACACCAAUAGCCAACACUCAUUUCUCACUAUUUCAAUUUCGUUUUCUAAUUAUCAGGGCAGCAGAAAAUAAAUUUACUUCUGCCUACUAUUUUGGAUGUAAAGACUAGGAGGCGGAAGUCAUCUUUAUUUACUUCCUUUUAACCUAUGCUGACAAAUACUGAAAUAAAAUUCGAAAAUUUG